AUUGAACGCUGGCGGCAGGCUUAACACAUGCAAGUCGAACGAGUGGCGGACGGGUGAGUCAUGCUUGGGAAUCUCGCUUAUGGAGGGGGAUAACUACGGGAAACUGUAGCUAAUACCGCGUACCAUAGGAUGAUCCCAAGUGGGAUUAGGUAGUUGGUGUGGUAAAGGCUCACCAAGCCGACGAUCUCUAGCUGGUCUGAGAGGAUGACAAGCCACACUGGGACUGAGACACGGCCAAGACUCCUACGGGAGGCAGCAGUGGGGAAUAUUGCGCAAUGGGGGCAACCCUGACGCAGACAUGCCGCGUGUAUGAAGAAGGCCUUAGGGUUGUAAAGUACUUUCAGCGGGGAGGCGGUACCCACAGAAGAAGCACCGGCUAACUCCGUGCCAGCCGCCGCGGUAAUUC
rnacentral:rRNA from 1 species